GACGAACCGUCCUAACGUUGUUCGGAAUCACUGGGCUUAAAGGGCGCGUAGGCGGGUCAUCAAGUCCGGGGUGAAAUCUUUCGGCUUAACCGGAAAAUAGCCUUGGAUACUGGUGGUCUGGAGGGUGGUAGGGGCAUGUGGAACUUCCGGUGGAGCGGUGAAAUGCGUUGAUAUCGGAAGGAACGCCGGUGGCGAAAGCGACGUGCUGGACCACUUCUGACGCUGAGGCGCGAAAGCCAGGGGAGCAAACGGG
rnacentral:rRNA from 1 species